rfam:Triticum aestivum genome assembly, contig: Triticum_aestivum_CS42_TGACv1_scaffold_406991_5BL
CAGGUACUCCCUCCGUUCGGAAUUACUUGUCUCGGAAAUGGAUGUAUGUAAAACUAAAAUACGUCUAGAUACAUCCAUUUUCACGACAAGUCGACAAGUAAUUCCAAACGGAGGAAGUACAUC